AGGCUAAGUGCUUGGAUGGUGACGUUUGUUUCAUGAUGUUAACAAAUUACGCUAGACAUGCAUGAUUCAAUAACAAUUUUCUCUACGUAAAAGGAACUUGUGCUCAGAUGCUGGCACCCAUUUACAGGAGACACGAGUUACACCAUUUCUCAUCAACGUGUGAAUUGAAUGGGAGGCCAUUUUCACUAGAAUAUGAAUGUUGUUCAUGUUCAUGUUGUGUCAUUGGCAUAAUUUAGAGUCUCUCAUAAAUACUAAAGGAC
rnacentral:lncRNA from 1 species